rnacentral:rRNA from 1 species
AAUCAACGCUGGCGGCGUGCCUAACACAUGCAAGUCGAACGCGAAAGCCCCGCAAGGGGUCAGUAGAGUGGCAAACGGGUGAGUAACACGUGGGUGACCUGCCUUCGAGUGGGGGAUAACGUCCCGAAAGGGACGCUAAUACCGCAUGACAUCCUGCUUUUGAAAAAGCGGAGAUCAAAGCUGGGGAUCGCAAGACCUAGCGCUUGAAGAGGGGCCCGCGCCUGAUUAGCUAGUUGGUGAGGUAACGGCUCACCAAGGCGACGAUCAGUAUCCGGCCUGAGAGGGCGGACGGACACACUGGGACUGAGACACGGCCCAGACUCCUACGGGAGGCAGCAGUGGGGAAUUGUUCGCAAUGGGCGCAAGCCUGACGACGCAACGCCGCGUGGAGGACGAAGAUCUUCGGGUCGUAAACUCCUGUCGAGCGGGACGAACGCUUCGCGGAUGAAUAAGCCGCGGAAUUGACGGUACCGCUAAAGGAAGCCCCGGCUAACUCCGUG